rnacentral:rRNA from 1 species
GACAGAGGCCUCAAGCGUUAGGCGGAAUCACUGGGCUUAAAGCGUGUGUAGGCGGAUCGUUAAGUGUCUUGUGAAAUCCCACGGCUCACCCGUGGAACUGCUGGGUAUACUGGUUGUCUUGAGCCAGCUAGGGGCGAGCGGAACAGACGGUGGAGCGGUGAAAUGCGUAGAUAUCGUCUGGAACGCCGAAGGUGAAAACAGCUCGCUGGGGCUGCGCUGACGCUGAGACACGAAAGCCAGGGGAGCGAACGGG